rnacentral:rRNA from 1 species
UAUGGAGGGAGCUAGCGUUGUUCGGAUUUACUGGGCGUAAAGGGUGCGUAGGCGGUUUGGUAAGUCUGACGUGAAAUCUCCGGGCCUAACCCGGAAACUGCGUUGGAUACUAUCUGACUAGAGGAAUGGAGGGGAGACUGGAAUACUUGGUGUAGCAGUGACAUGCGUAGAUAUCAAGUGGAACACCAGUGGCGAAGGCGAGUCUCUGGACAUUUCCUGACGCUGAGGCACGAAAGCCAGUGGAGCAAACGGG